rnacentral:misc_RNA from 1 species
GAUGAAGAACGCAGUGAAAUGCGAUACGUAAUGUGAAUUGCAGAAUUCAGUGAAUCAUCGAGUCUUUGAACGCACAUUGCGCCCCCUGGUAUUCCGGGGGGCAUGCCUGUCCGAGCGUCAUUGCUGCCCUCAAGCACGGCUUGUGUGUUGGGCCUCCGUCCUCCUCCCGGGGGACGGGCCCGAAAGGCAGCGGCGGCACCGCGUCCGGUCCUCGAGCGUAUGGGGCUUCGUCACCCGCUCUUGUAGGCCCGGCCGGCGCUUGCCGACACAUCAAUCUUUUUUCCAGGUUGACCUCAGAUCAGGUAGGGAUACCCGCUGAACUUAAGCAUAUCAAUAAGCGGAGGA